AGGAUAAGCGUCGUUGGGGCAGGUCCUGGGUAGAGUCCAGGUUGGCGGGUCCUGGGGCGGAGUCAGGAUAGGGCGAUCCUGGAAGCUGGGCUUCAGAAGCGUCCAGAUAGGGUCUCUCUCUCUGCCACCCAGGCCAGAGUGCAGUUGACGCAGGGCAGGGGAGCCCCGAAGUGGAGCAUAGUGUGUCCGGAACUGGUGGGUUCUUGGUCUCACUGACUUCAAGAAUGAAGCCGUGGACCCUCACGAGACAGGGUUUCACCAUGUUGGCCAGGCUUGUCUUGAACUCCUGACGUCGUGAUCUGCCUGCUUUGGCCUCCCAAAGUCCUGGGAUUACAGGCAUGAGCCACCGUACCCAGCCACUCUUGAUUAACUUAAUGGAAAUAUUUACAGAGAUUCUUUCUCUUCUGGGUUCUAGCGUCUUAUCUGUAACCUCUGCAGGUAGAAGUUGCUGGUCCCAUCUUGCUCACAAUCCUCCAAAGUUUGAAAGUUAUUUUCCAGGAGACUUGGCUUGCACUGAGAGCUGCCCUCCCACUCUCUCUCCAAAUUUCCUCUUCGGAGUAGCCUAACAAGGUGCUGUCACAGACCCUUGUCAGCCACGAUGACCCCACCCAGACCAUCCCUCUGCUGUUUCACUCUUUGAUACUCUCUGGAGCUCUCUGGGGAGGGGUGAGACCUGCCGUCUUCUUUGUACGGUUUGCCCAGGUCUUACAGUCAUGGCUGGCUGCCUCUCUCUGAGAACUGGGACUCCUGAACUUGGUGAAAUACCUCAGCCAUCGAUCAUGUUGAAUUAUUGGGAACACUCAUUUAAAAUCCGAGCCUGUUCCAGAUAGACUCUCUCUCUUUCUGCCCUGACUGUGAGAGAAGCCCUGCUGGAUGGUGGAGAUGCUCGUGGGCUGUGAGCAAGGGAUGCAAAGGCUGCCGGGAAUCCCAUCUUUCCAGCAUCAUCUGCUAAGUCACAUUAGUUCCUGGGUAUCUGGAUGGGUUCUAGCAGCAUUACUGUCAUUGAAGGAAAAAUGAUAGCCAUAUUAAAGGUUAAUGCAGCAAUCUCCACAUAGGCUGCCUUGAAGGGACGCAGGACAAGGGUAGGUUUUCCUUGUGAUGGACAGGAGGCAGGCGGCCCUCCCACAGCCCUGCCUGGCAAUGCAGGUGUGUCCCCAAAAGGCACUGGGGGCCAGCUGGAGUGCUAUGCCGAGGCGGGCUGACCUGGGCCGUGGGUUCGCUGAUUGCAGCGGUUUCCUGCCAGCUCCUUGGAGAGCUGGCAGAUGGCCCAGCCCCACAGCAGGAGCCGCGAAUGGCAGAGCGACAUACAACAAUUUGAUAUCCACUUGCCAGAGGAGCCGGGUGUCAUCAGUCGCCUGGAUCUGUGCCCAACUUCUUUUUGCAUAAACACUUAUGAAUUCAGCCAAGAGGAAAAGCACUCUGAUUAUGAAUUGAGCAGAAGGAAACAAAGUUCUGCAGAUAAACACCAAUGAGACAAAAAAACACAAAUAAGAAAAAUGACAGAAAAGAAGAACCUUCCCAGAAGCCUCCUGCCAGUGAACGGCCACCAUAGCAAGAGCAUGGAGGCCCUGGGUUUUGAACUGUGAGAUAAGGAAGAUGAUGAAAACCUCCCUAGCAGCCAGGCAAGCACAAGAUUCCUGUGAAAUCCAGGUCUAAGUGUUUUGACUACAGAAGUAAUAUUAUGUCAUAGGUGAGAGCUGUGAGUUGCUGAACCCAAAGUGAGUUCAAAUCCAAGUUCUGCCUCCUGCAACCUUUGUGACUUUGAGAAGUUCCAACACCACUUUGUGCCUCAGUUUUCUCAUCUGUCAAAUGGGCAUAAUCACAGCUCUUGCCUCAGAGUUGUUGUAAAUUAAUACAUGUAAAGCACUGAAAUCA